GCAGAUACUUCACAAAAUUUCAACCCUUCUCAGCUGUGUGUGCAGGAAGCUAUUUCUCCAUACUUUCCUCAACAUUUGGUAAUAGCAAAGGGCAAAAGAUAUGUCUACAUUUCAAUGGAAAGGGGAGCACAUACAUAGACAAGAUCGGCCAUUUGUUAAUCAUUUUUGAAGCUGGCUAUUGGAAAGCUUUUCUGCUGAAGACUUACUAACAUAGGAUCUGGUGUUUUAUUCCAAGUUAUCUCAAUAUUUAAAUUACUAAUGCUCGUUUCUGACCAGGAUGUGAACCAUUGAAAGAAAAGAACAUUAAAAUAUUGGAAAAUCUCACAUUGCACUGAAAACUUGAGGAGGAAGCUAGCUCUAUGGGACACGUUUUGAGGAAUUUCUGACAGAAUGUUUUGCGAACAAGACUAAAGGAAGCCAGAGAGAGUCAUCGUGCAACAGCUUUGGGAGAAAGUAAUAUUCACUGGCAGGAAAAAGAGGAUCCUCUGCUUCCAGACUGUGGUUGACCCCAGGGAAAGAGAAACCAUGGAUAAGGGAGGACUGCUGUACGGAUUCGUUUCAGUCUUCAUGACAUCAUUUUAUGGAUGAGAAGAUCAAAGAACAGAGAGGUUAAACAAAUUGCACAACUGUCCACAGCUUGUGACUGCAGAGCUGUGGCCAGAAAUCAGUCUGUAUACAGUCCUGCUCUUAACUACUUCACUGUACUAUUUCUCCAAAUAAAAUAAAAUAUG